rnacentral:rRNA from 1 species
AAUAUUUCGCAAUGGGGGAAACCCUGACGCAGUAACGCCGCGUGAGCGAUGAAGGCCUUCGGGUCGUAAAGCUCUGUCUUUAGGGACGAUAAUGACGGUACCUAAGGAGGAAGCCACGGCUAACUACGUGCAAGCAGCCGCGGUAAUACGUAGGUGGCGAGCGUUGUCCGGAAUUACUGGGCGUAAAGGGUGCGUAGGCGGAAUCUUAAGUCAGAUGUGAAAUCCCUGGGCUUAACCUGGGAAUGGCAUUUGAAACUGGGGUUCUAGAGUGCAGGAGAGGAAAGCGGAAUUCCUAGUGUAGCGGUGAAAUGCGUAGAUAUUAGGAAGAACACAAGUGGCGAAGGCGGCUUUCUGGACUGUAACUGACGCUGAGGCACGAAAGCGUGGGGAGCAAACAGG